rnacentral:snRNA from 14 species
AGCUUUGUGCAGUGGCAGUACGGUAGUCAGUGAGGUCAAUCUGAGGCAUGGUUAUUGCUAAUUGAAAUCUUUUAUCUCUGUCUCUACUGUACAUACACCUUCUACUGCCCCCUAUAAAUACAUCAACUCUGUUUUAUCUGUGGCAUGUCCUACAGAGUCCUCAGUGCUUUGGAUGCUGUUCCUUGUAGUUAUGGAUUAGGGUUUGAAGUGGCAAUUUGGGAGAUUUCUUCCAUUAA